rnacentral:rRNA from 1 species
GACAGAGGGUGCAAACGUUGUUCGGAAUUACUGGGCGUAAAGCGCGUGUAGGCGGCCCUGCAAGUCGGGUGUGAAAUCCCACGGCUCAACCGUGGAAGUGCACUCGAAACUGCAGGGCUAGAGUCCUGGAGAGGAAGGUGGAAUGCUUGGUGUAGAGGUGAAAUUCGUAGAUAUCAAGCGGAACAGCGGUGGCGAAGGCGGCCUUCUGGACAGUGACUGACGCUGAGACGCGAAAGCGUGGGGAGCAAACAGG